GGAGGAGUGGCAGAGCGGUUGAAUGCAGCGGUCUUGAAAACCGUCGAGCGGGCAACCCCCGUUCCGAGGGUUCGAAUCCCUCCUCCUCCGCCA
rnacentral:tRNA from 2 species